rnacentral:misc_RNA from 1 species
GAAAUGCGAUAACUAGUGUGAAUUGCAGAAUUCCGUGAAUCAUCGAGUCUUUGAACGCACAUUGCGCCCCCUGGUAUUCCAAAGGGCAUGCCUGUUCGAGCGUCAUUUGUACCCUCAAGCUUUGCUUGGUGUUGGGCGUCUUGUCUCUAGCUUUGCUGGAGACUCGCCUUAAAGUAAUUGGCAGCCGGCCUACUGGUUUCGGAGCGCAGCACAAGUCGCACUCUCUAUCAGCAAAGGUCUAGCAUCCAUUAAGCCUUUUUUUCAACUUUUGACCUCGGAUCAGGUAGGGAUACCCGCUGAACUUAAGC